rfam:Bombyx mori DNA, contig: Bm_scaf141_contig39748, strain: p50T/Dazao, build 2, whole genome shotgun sequence.
UUAACUCUAAUUUGUAUGGAGUUAGAACGUUUGUCUACGUUUGCCGCUAGGGGCGCUGUUCCAACUGCAUACAAAUCAGAGUCA